rnacentral:rRNA from 1 species
ACGAGAGUAACUGCUCGUACCUUGACGGUACCUUAUUAGAAAGCCACGGCUAACUACGUGCCAGCAGCCGCGGUAAUACGUAGGUGGCAAGCGUUGUCCGGAAUUAUUGGGCGUAAAGCGCGCGCAGGCGGUUC